CUUUUUUUUUUUAAUUUCAUUUUUUAAGCUUGAUUUUUUUUUUUAAUUGGUACAAAGUAUCCACCAGAUUGGGAAACUUGGCUUAUUAUCAUUAGUAGGGUCUCCCCUCAUAAUAACGUUUUUUCCGUUCACAAGAUUCGAACCAGAGAACUUGUAUAAGGAAACCGAGUUGGGUACUGCUUAGAUUAGUAUUCAGACUAACGAGUUGUUGGUUUUUCAAGCUUGAUGCUGAUGUUGCUGUGUUUGGUUUUAGUUUGAAUGUUGUUUGAAUUAAUUGUUGUCUGUGAGGGUCGUGGAUGGAGGAAUGAGAAUGUUAUGUGUUUAAUGGGUUAUUUAUUUAUUUAUUUUUUUUAACUUUUAUGUUUUAGCUAAUUAAAGUGUUGAGGUAUUCUUUUUAAAUAAUUAUUAUGUUAAUUUAUGCAUCUGGAGAUUUUUUUUUUAAUUUUUUUUUUCCGAUUGCUUGGUCUUGCUCUUCCGUGUUUUUAAUGGUAUUGUUUUGUGCUUGGAAUUGGAAUUGGUAAUGGUAAUAGUGUUUCUGUGAUGGGUCUGAGGGAAAAAGGUGAUUCAAGGAAGAUUCAGUUUUGUUGGGGUAAAGGGUAGUUGCCCCUAAUAUGAUGGAGUAUCUUCUACGUAUACCAUAUUUGAUAUUCCUUCUAUUUUGUUUUUGAAUCAAUAGCUAUGUUGAACGCGUACUUGACCGGAUAAGCAAUGGUAAACUAGCAGAGGACAGAAGCAAAGGCAUCAGAUGUUGGAAGUGGUGCUCCAUCACCAAACAACAUAAGAGGAUCAUCAAGAAGAAGCAAUGGUGAUAAUGAGGGUAGCUAAAGGAAGGCUAGUUAGGCACAUUAAUAUAUUAGAAAAUGUUACUUUAGUUUAUGUAAUGAAUCUAUAACUUAUGAAGUACUUUGACUCUGUUUGAUAUAACUAUUUAUGUUUUCCCUGGUACAAGUAAUGAAUGAAUCAACUUUAUGUUUUGUAUUUUGUUAUUACAAGUUGAAGUAUAUUGAAUGAACUUGGUUGGUUGAAUUUUUUAA